CAUGCGCAGAUGGUGCUUCGUUUAGUAGGACGCAUGCGCAGGUGUAUCUCCCAAAAUCACCACUUCGAACGGCACGAGAUUCUUAAGCACAGCUUUAUCGCCUAACGUUACUUUAGCUAACCCUAACAUGUUCGCGUUUCGCCUACUUUUAGUUAACCCAGUUAGCGCGUACCACCGAUACAGAUGUAGGCUAUGGACACACGGAAGACAACAAAUAACGUUACAGAGGACCUGGAGGAAACUCACACGGACACAGGGAGAAAAUGCAAACUCCACACUGAAAGGCCCCGGCCAGGAUUCAAACUCGUCUUGCUGUGAGAUAAAUGAUGACUCUAUAUGGUGGGCUGAGGGACAGUAAACCAUUGUUUGUUGGAACAUUGCUGCCCCAACAAUCAUCUUGGAAAAAACAAUAACGAGAAAUUCACCAUCUGGAACUUCACCAAGUCCUCACAUUAUGCCCUUCUUUCUAAGCUGAGUGUGGCUAAUGCAACACUGCCAUUGUUCAUAGCUUUUGCCAUUCACUUUAAAUCCUUGAAACGUGUUAUAAUUAGAAUCAGCUGUACAUGGUUGUUGCUGCUGAAGUAAGUAAGGAACUGAUCAUUUGUGUGUGCAAUGUCACUUCCAGAUUUGUAUUUGUUUAUUUAUUUAUUUAUUUGUUUGUUUGUGUAUUUAUUUUUGCAGAUUUACUUAUCAUCACACUUCCUGGACAUGGUCAAUUCAGGCCAGUACAGAUCUAAAAGUAAUUUUAGAACAUUCAUAGCAGAAAUUGUGUUCAGUGUUAACUACCACCAUAGCCUAAUAGGUGUACUAUACAUACCAAGUUCUUCACAAUGAAUUGUAUACAUUGCAUUGCACAAUGCAUUUUGCAUUAUUUGAUAUCUCAUUAGAUACUACACAUUUAUUUGCAUGUACAACCAAAACAAUAAAGUUCUCACAGCCUGAGGAAACGAUAGUGUCUUUUUGUCUUCUUUAAAUUCUCCAUAAAAAUAAUUGUAUGCUCAUAUGAUAUAAUAAUACUGUCUUGCGUUGUCAGUGGAAAGGGGUAGGAAAUGCUCCUAUUUGGUGCAAAAUAGCUUAUUGUUACUUUGAAACUCAACUGUAUACUGUAUGAAACUGCAAACAAUCAGGGAGCUGUUGAGGCCUAAUGAAAGGUAAUCAGACAGGAAUGUCACAGAACAGAUUGUUUCUCCCUAUAAUGCAUGGCAGUCUUAAAUACUAGCCUGGGAUGAUAUACAUAAGCAAUCUGUGAAGAUUCUUAUCAAACAGGAUGUUCGGCUGGGGCUGCUGGGUAGUUCCCCCGGUAAAAGUGUUGCUGGUAGUGCAUGAGUGAGCACCAUGGCUUCAGAUGUUGCCUGUUAUUGCGGAUAGCAGUGUUUAUUGCUCGAGCAAUCCCUGUUAGCUGUUAGGGCACCUGUGGCUUGCUCUCUGUACACAUGUAUAAUUGGGUUCUAAUGUCACAAAUGACCAAUGGAAAAAAUAAACCAUGGCAGAGGUGGAAAUGUCAGUGUUGAAAUUUUCAGCAUGUAAAUCAAACAGCAAACAGCUGAGAAUGUGACAGCACA